GACGAACGCUGGCGGCGUGCUUAACACAUGCCAGUCGAACGGAAAGGCCCUGCUUUUGUGGGGUGCUCGAGUGGCGAACGGGUGAGUAACACGUUAGUAACCUGCCCUUGACUUUGGGAUAACUUCAGGAAACUGGGGCUAAUACCGGAUAUGAGCUCCUGCUGCAUGGUGGGGGUUGGAAAGUUUCGGCGGUUGGGGAUGGACUCGCGGCUUAUCAGCUUGUUGGUGGGGUAGUGGCUUACCAAGGCUUUGACGGGUAGCCGGCCUGAGAGGGUGACCGGCCACAUUGGGACUGAGAUACGGCCCAGACUCCUACGGGAGGCAGCAGUGGGGAAUAUUGCACAAUGGGCGGAAGCCUGAUGCAGCAACGCCGCGUGCGGGAUGACGGCCUUCGGGUUGUAAACCGCUUUCGCCUGUGACGAAGCGUGAGUGACGGUAAUGGGUAAAGAAGCACCGGCUAACUACGUG
rnacentral:rRNA from 1 species